rnacentral:rRNA from 1 species
GACGAACGCUGGCGGCGUGCCUAAUACAUGCAAGUAGAACGCACAGUUUAUACCGUAGCUUGCUACACCAUAGACUGUGAGUUGCGAACGGGUGAGUAACGCGUAGGUAACCUGCCUGGUAGCGGGGGAUAACUAUUGGAAACGAUAGCUAAUACCGCAUAAUAUUGAUUAUUGCAUGAUAAUUGAUUGAAAGAUGCUAUUGCAUCACUACCAGAUGGACCUGCGUUGUAUUAGCUAGUAGGUGAGGUAACGGCUCACCUAGGCGACGAUACAUAGCCGACCUGAGAGGGUGAUCGGCCACACUGGGACUGAGACACGGCCCAGACUCCUACGGGAGGCAGCAGUAGGGAAUCUUCGGCAAUGGACGAAAGUCUGACCGAGCAACGCCGCGUGAGUGAAGAAGGUUUUCGGAUCGUAAAGCUCUGUUGUAAGAGAAGAACGGGUGUGAGAGUGGAUAGUUCACACUGUGACGGUAUCUUACCAGAAAGGGACGGCUAACUACGUG